rnacentral:rRNA from 1 species
UACGAAAGGUGCAAGCGUUGUUCGGAAUCAUUGGGCGUAAAGAGCACGUAGGCGGGAUCGUAUGUCGAUUGUGAAAUCCCAGGGCUCAACCCUGGAAUUGCAGUCGAAACUGCGAUUCUUGAAUACCUGAGAGGGUGGGGGAAUUCCUGGUGAAGCAGUGAAAUGCGUAGAUAUCAGGAGGAACAUCGGAGGCGAAGGCGCCUACCUGGCAGGAUAUUGACGCUGAGGUGCGAAAGCGUGGGGAGCAAACAGG